ACACAGGUGGUGCAUGGCUGUCGUCAGUUCGUGCCGCAAGGUGUGGGUUAAGUCCCGCAACGAGCGCAACCCUCGUGUUUAGUUGCCAUAAAGUUUGGAACUCUGAACAGACUAUCGGUGUUAAGCCGGAGGAAGGUGAGGAUGAUGUCAAGUCAUCAUGCCCCUUAUACCCUGGGCGACACACGUGCUACAAUGGCCGGGACAAAGAGUUGCGACCCCGCGAGGGUAAGCUAACCUCAAAAACCUGGCCUCAAUUCGGAUUGCAGGCUGCAACUCGCCUGCAUGAAGUAGGAAUCGCUAGUAAUCGCCGGUCAGCCAUACGGCGGUGAAUUCGUUCUCGGGCCUUGUACACACCGCCCGUCACACUAGGGAAGUGUGCCAUGCUCGAAGUCAUUAUCUUAACCGCAAGGAGGGAGAUGCCCAAGGCACGGCUAGUGACUGGAGUGAAGUCGUAACAAGGUAACC
rnacentral:rRNA from 1 species